AGUGAACGCUGGCGGUAGGCCUAACACAUGCAAGUCGAACGGCAGCACAGGAGAGCUUGCUCUCUGGGUGGCGAGUGGCGGACGGGUGAGGAAUACAUCGGAAUCUACUCUGUCGUGGGGGAUAACGUAGGGAAACUUACGCUAAUACCGCAUACGACCUACGGGUGAAAGCAGGGGAUCUUCGGACCUUGCGCGAUUGAAUGAGCCGAUGUCGGAUUAGCUAGUUGGCGGGGUAAAGGCCCACCAAGGCGACGAUCCGUAGCUGGUCUGAGGGGAUGAUCAGCCACACUGGAACUGAGACACGGUCCAGACGCCGACGGGAGGCAGCAGUGGGGAAUAUUGGACAACGGGCGCAAGCCUGAUCCAGCCAUACCGCGUGGGUGAAGAAGGCCUUCGGGUUGUAAAGCCCUUUUGUUGGGAAAGAAAUCCAGCUGGCUAAUACCCGGUUGGGAUGACGGUACCCAAAGAAUAAGCACCGGCUAACUUCGUGCCAGCCGCCGCAGUAA
rnacentral:rRNA from 1 species